rnacentral:rRNA from 1 species
CGGGUCUAGCGGCGGACGGGUUAGUAACGCGUGGGAACGUGCCCUUCACUACGGAAUAGUCCCGGGAAACUGGGUUUAAUACCGUAUACGCCCUUUCGGGGGGAAAGAAUUUCGGUGAAGGAUCGGCCCGCGUCUGAUUAGAUAGUUGGUGGGGUAAUGGCCUACCAAGUCUACGAUCAGUAGCUGGUUUUAGAGGAUGAUCAGCAACACUGGGACUGAGACACGGCCCAGACUCCUACGGGAGGCAGCAGUGGGGAAUCUUGGACAAUGGGCGCAAGCCUGAUCCAGCCAUGCCGCGUGUGUGAUGAAGGCCUUAGGGUCGUAAAGCACUUUCGCCUGUGAUGAUAAUGACAGUAGCAGGUAAAGAAACCCCGGCUAACUCCGUGCCAGCAGCCGCGGUAAUACGGAGGGGGUUAGCGUUGUUCGGAAUUACUGGGCGUAAAGCGCGCGUAGGCGGACAUUUAAGUCAGAGGUGAAAUCCCGGGGCUCAACCCCGGAACGGCCUUUGAUACUGGGUGUCUUGAGUUCGAGAGAGGUGAGUGGAAUUCCGAGUGUAGAGGUGAAAUUCGUAGAUAUUCGGAGGAACACCAGUGGCGAAGGCGGCUCACUGGCUCGAUACUGACGCUGAGGUGCGAAAGUGUGGGGAGCAAACAGGAUUAGAUACCCUGGUAGUCCACACCGUAAACGAUGAAUGCCAGUC